rnacentral:rRNA from 1 species
AUUGAACGCUGGCGGCAUGCCUUACACAUGCAAGUCGAACGGCAGCACGGGAGCAAUCCUGGUGGCGAGUGGCGAACGGGUGAGUAAUAUAUCGGAACGUGCCCAGUCGUGGGGAUAACGUAGCGAAAGCUACGCUAAUACCGCAUACGAUCUACGGAUGAAAGCGGGGGAUCGCAAGACCUCGCGCGAUUGGAGCGGCCGAUAUCAGAUUAGGUAGUUGGUGAGGUAAAGGCUCACCAAGCCGACGAUCUGUAGCUGGUCUGAGAGGACGACCAGCCACACUGGGACUGAGACACGGCCCAGACUCCUACGGAGGCAGCAGUGGGGAAUUUUGGACAAUGGGCGCAAGCCUGAUCCAGCAAUGCCGCGUGCAGGAUGAAGGCCUUCGGUU